rnacentral:rRNA from 1 species
UACGGAGGGUGCGAGCGUUAAUCGGAAUUACUGGGCGUAAAGCCCACGUAGGCGGUCGUGUAAGUCGGAUGUGAAAGCCCUGGGCUUAACCUGGGAACUGCAUUCGAAACUGCACGGCUAGAGUAUGGGAGAGGGAAGCAGAAUUUCCGGUGUAGCGGUGAAAUGCGUAGAUAUCGGGAAGAACACCGGUGGCGAAGGCGGCUCUCUGGCCCGCAACUGACGCUGAGGUGCGAAAGCGUGGGGAGCAAACAGG